GUGCCAGCAGCCGCCGCGGUAAUACGUAGGGUGCAAGCGUUAAUCGGAAUUACUGGGCGUAACGCGUGCGCAGGCGGUUAUGCAAGACAGAUGUGAAAUCCCCGGGCUCAACCUGGGAACUGCAUUUGUGACUGCAUGGCUAGAGUACGGUAGAGGGGGAUGGAAUUCCGCGUGUAGCAGUGAAAUGCGUAGAUAUGCGGAGGAACACCGAUGGCGAAGGCAAUCCCCUGGACCUGUACUGACGCUCAUGCACGAAAGCGUGGGGAGCAAACAGGAUUAGAUACCCUGGUAGUCCACGCCC
rnacentral:rRNA from 1 species